rnacentral:lncRNA from 1 species
CCUAGUGAAUUUAGUGGCAUAAACACUAGUCUAUAGUCUCUUAGAAUCAUCUCUGUUACCAUAAACACUUUUUAUCGUUGUUCAUUCAAAAGAUAUUGAAUCUCCAAAUUUUCUUCUCAUCUUAUGGACACUAAAAAAAUAAAAAAUAAAAACAGUAAUUAAGGUUUAAUUGAACUCACCAAUCAUCACAUACUCCAUUGUUGGAACAAAAUGCUUUGUCCCUUAUUGGCUUUCACUAUUUC